rnacentral:rRNA from 1 species
CCUACGGGUGGCUGCAGUAGGGAAUAUUGCACAAUGGGCGCAAGCCUGAUGCAGCCAUGCCGCGUGUGUGAAGAAGGCCUUCGGGUUGUAAAGCACUUUCAGCGGGGAGGAAGGCGUUAAGGUUAAUAACCUUGUCGAUUGACGUUACCCGCAGAAGAAGCACCGGCUAACUCCGUGCCAGCAGCCGCGGUAAUACGGAGGGUGCAAGCGUUAAUCGGAAUUACUGGGCGUAAAGCGCACGCAGGCGGUCUGUCAAGUCGGAUGUGAAAUCCCCGGGCUCAACCUGGGAACUGCAUUCGAAACUGGCAGGCUAGAGUCUUGUAGAUGGGUGUAGAAUUCCAGGUGGAGCGGUGAAAUGCGUAGAGAUCUGGAGGAAUACCGGUGGCGAAGGCGGCCCCCUGGACAAAGACUGACGCUCAGGUGCGAAAGCGUGGGGAGCAAACAGGAUUAGAUACCCGUGUAGUC